GCCGGUGUAGCUCAGUUGGCAGAGCAACUGAUUCGUAAUCAGUAGGUCGGAGGUUCGAAUCCUCUCACCGGCACCA
rnacentral:tRNA from 1 species